UACGUAGGGGGCAAGCGUUGUCCGGAAUCAUUGGGCGUAAAGAGCGUGUAGGCGGCCCGGUAAGUCCGCUGUGAAAGUCCAGGGCUCAACCCUGGAAUGCCGGUGGAAACUGUCGGGCUAGAGUCCGGAAGAGGCGAGUGGAAUUCCUGGUGUAGCGGUGGAAUGCGCAGAUAUCAGGAGGAACACCUAUAGCGAAGGCAGCUCGCUGGUACGACACUGACGCUAAGGCGCGAAAGCGUGGGGAGCGAACAGG
rnacentral:rRNA from 1 species